rnacentral:rRNA from 1 species
AACGAACGCUGGCGGCAUGCCUAACACAUGCAAGUCGAACGAGACCUUCGGGUCUAGUGGCGCACGGGUGCGUAACGCGUGGGAAUCUGCCCUUGGGUUCGGGAUAACAGUUGGAAACGACUGCUAAUACCGGAUGACGUCUUCGGACCAAAGAUUUAUCGCCCAGGGAUGAGCCCGCGUCGGAUUAGCUAGUUGGUAGGGUAAAAGCCUACCAAGGCGACGAUCCGUAGCUGGUCUGAGAGGAUGAUCAGCCACACUGGGACUGAGACACGGCCCAGACUCAUACGGGAGGCAGCGGUGGGGAAUAUUGGACAAUGGGCGAAAGCCUGAUCCAGCAAUGCCGCGUGAGUGAUGGAGGCCUUAGGGUUGUAAAGCUCUUUUACCCGGGAUGAUAAUGACAGUACCGGGAGAAUAAGCCCCGGCUAACUCCGUGCCAGCAGCCGCGGUAA